AGCGAACGUUAGCGGCGCGCCUAACACAUGCAAGUCGCACGAGAAAGGGAGCAAUCCCCGGUACAGUGGCGCACGGGUGAGUAACACGUAGAUGACCUUCCCUGGAGUGGUGAUAACCUGCCGAAAGGCGGGCUAAUACAGCAUGGGACCACAUGGUUUUGACCGAGUGGUGAAAGCGGGCCUCUGUUCACAAGCUCGCGCUCUGGGAUGGGUCUGCGUCCCAUCAGCUAGUUGGUGAGGUAAUGGCUCACCAAGGCAUCGACGGGUAGCUGGUCUGAGAGGAUGACCAGCCACACUGGAACUGAGACACGGUCCAGACUCCUACGGGAGGCAGCAGUGGGGAAUCUUGCGCAAUGGGCGAAAGCCUGACGCAGCGACGCCGCGUGGGUGAUGAAGGCC
rnacentral:rRNA from 1 species